UACUAUAUACUAAUUCUCAGUUAACUGUUCAUCGGCUUAGUAACAGUGCCGGCUCGAGCCGAGCCGUAACUGUGAAAUGACCAUUUUGCCCUCCAUUCUUUGCUUGACUACGGUAUUCUGUUUGACCUAGAUAUAAAAGGUGUAGAGGGUGAUAAACGCGAUCUGUUUCCUCUCUCUUUCUCUCUUCGUUCUUAGCUCGGCUCUGCGCAUCUGAAGGGGCUUGAUCAGGUUUCGGUGUCGCUGGGUUUUGAAUAAUCGUGCUAGACCAAUCGGAUAAUUGUGUCUUCAGUUGGUGAUCUGCUACAAGUAUAAUCUAAAGAACCGACGCCUACUUUCGGGAAGCAUCGGUGAAGACUGACCUCCGCUGCUGCGCUGUUGCAACCUCUCUGACGUCGACAUGAAUCCAAACAACUGCGAGAACAAAAUGGAUGUCUUCAUUCAUGAAAUGGAACCUUACAAAUCAGAAUACAAGAUCAGAGUUCGUAUAUCGAGAGUGUGGAGAGCAAAGCAAUAUAAUACUGACAAGAAUGAUGGUCUCCACUCUGUCUUGAUUGAUGAAAAGGGUGACGCUAUUCAAUUAUUCAUGCAAUUAUCAGUGAAUCUGACUACCCUUUAGUUCACAAAAAAAAUACAACAAGGCAAGGUUUAUGACAGUCAGAAUUUCUUUACACGAAAAAACCAGGAAAACUACAAGAUUCUUGAUCAUCGGAGUCAAGUCCGUUUCAAUGCACUGACUGUCUUUGAAGCAAUUGAAGGAAACUGCCCAGAAAUUCCAGAGCAUCGAUUCUAUUUAGUAGAAUUUGAUCAACUCGAAGCACGCAUGAAUGAUCAUACAAUUCUAACAGGUAAAUGUACACAUUGUAAAUAAACAAUGCUUCCUCAUUAUGCUUUACCUUAUAACUUUGAUUAAUCACUUUUUUUUAUUUUUUUUAUUUUUGUUAAAUGCAAGUUGUGUAUGGCUGUUUGAAGUCGAUUGUACCACCACAUGAGACAACUGUGAACUGUCAAGGAUAGAGAGUCAAAAUGUGAAAGACAAGAGUCAAAAUGUGAAAUCCAUUUGCAGAACUUAAGAAGAGAGGACUUGAGAAUUACACUCUGGGGCAACACUGCUAGACAAGUCGACAUGGAAACAAUUAGAAAAGCUUCUCCACCAGUGCUGAUGGCAUUAACCAGUUUAAAAAUCAAAGAGUACUUGAACAAACCUGCCCCAUCAAAUACAAGCAACACCUGUAUUUUCAUCAAUCCAAAGAUCCCAGAAACAAACAAGUACAGGCUUCAGUUCUCAAAACUGGUUGAUAGAGUGCAAAUACUUCCAACACCAUUCAAACAGCCAAUAUUAGAAGAAAUCCAGGAAACCAAUAUGAAAACAGUGACUCGAUUGAACAUAUUGGAUCCAUUGUCAUACAAGGAACAAAUGGUGUAUUGCAAUGCUUCAAUUUCCAGAUUUGCAACACACGACGGUUGGUGGUAUAAAGCCUCGCUGUUAUCGAGAAUUAAGAGAACAAGAACAUGACAAUCAACUCGGCUGCUCACAUCAUGGGAAGCAAGAAAUUUUUGUUUCAGAGUCUACAUGACUAUCACAGAUGGUCAAAAUGAGGCAACGGUUAUCAUAAUGGGAAAACAAGCAGAGAAACUGUUUGGAAGUAAUUGCAAAGAUUUGGUCAGCAAAAGAUCCUACUCAACAGAAGCAACAUUACCAGAGGAGAUGGAGAAAACAAGAGGCCAAAAGUUCUUUUUCAGCUCAAGAUAACGGAAGAUAGUGAGCUAAUAAUCAAAGCAGUCUUCCCACAUAUGGAAUCCUCUGUACCACCUUUUUGAAAACGACCCAGCAACUAUGACUCCAGAUCCUGUUCCUUUUCAAAGAAAGAGAGUUGCUGAGACAAGUAAAAGAGGAUUAUUCAUAUCUGAACCAGACAAGAAAUCUAGAAGAGAGAGAGAAGCAGAGGAAGAUGAAACCACAUCGUCAUCAGCUGAAAACAAAAAGACUGUUUAAUGCAGGAUAACUGUGGUGUACAGUGUUUUGAUGAAGUAAUCGAUUUUGUGUAGCUGCAAUCACAAGUACAGUUGGAACCACCACUGUUUUUGAACAAGCUCCACAAUCUCACAAGAUUGCAGCAACAAUCUUUUUGUAAAUCUGCAACUAUAAUAGCUAAUCUGACUAUGCAGCUAGCUUUUUUGUAAAGCUGCAGCUGAAAUGCCUAACGUUAUUGUGCAUCAAGCAAUUUUUGGAUGACUUCAAAGGAAAUCAAUUGUGUAACAAAUGUAGAAUGUACAUGUACUCUUUUAUCAAAUGAAUAUAAUUUAACAAUUCUCCCUCUA